AUUGAACGCUGGCGGCAGGCCUAACACAUGCAAGUCGAACGGUAACAGGCUGUAUGGGAUCCCUUCCGGGGUGAACUUGGCGCUGACGAGUGGCGAACGGGUGAGUAACACGUAGGAAUCUACCCAGGAGUGGGGGACAACCCGGAGAAAUCCGGGCUAAUACCGCAUACGCCCUACCGGGGUAAAGUGGGGGACCUCUUCGGAGGCCUCACGCUUUUGGAUGAGCCUGCGUCGGAUUAGCUUGUUGGUGAGGUAACGGCUCACCAAGGCGACGAUCCGUAGCUGGUCUGAGAGGAUGACCAGUCACACUGGGACUGAGACACGGCCCAGACUCCUACGGGAGGCAGCAGUGGGGAAUAUUGGACAAGUGGGGGCAACCCUGAUCCAGCCAUGCCGCGUGUGUGAAGAAGGCCCUAGGGUUGUAAAGCACUUCAGUGGGGAAGAAAAGCCUAAGGAUAAUACCCUUGGGUCUUGACGGUACCUACAGAAGAAGCACCGGCUAAUUCCGUG
rnacentral:rRNA from 1 species